rnacentral:rRNA from 1 species
UACGGAGGGUGCGAGCGUUGUCCGGAAUCACUGGGCGUAAAGGGCGCGUAGGCGGUCUGCUAAGCGUGCGGUGAAAGCCUGGGGCUCAACCCCAGGUCUGCCGUGCGAACUGGUGGACUUGAGCACUGUAGAGGCAGGUGGAAUUUCGGGUGUAGCGGUGGAAUGCGUAGAGAUCCGAAAGAACACCGGUGGCGAAGGCGGCCCGCUGGGCAGUAGCUGACGCGGAGGCGCGACAGCGUGGGGAGCAAACAGG